CUAGCGGUUAAUACUCGCUAGGAAAGACAUCACUCGCAGAAGAAGCACCGGCUAACUCCGUGCCAGCAGCCGCGGUAAUACGGAGGGUGCAAGCGUUAAUCGGAAUUACUGGGCGUAAAGCGCGCGUAGGUGGCUUGAUAAGCCGGUUGUGAAAGCCCCGGGCUCAACCUGGGAACGGCAUCCGGAACUGUCAAGCUAGAGUGCAGGAGAGGAAGGUAGAAUUCCCGGUGUAGCGGUGAAAUGCGUAGAGAUCGGGAGGAAUACCAGUGGCGAAGGCGGCCUUCUGGACUGACACUGACACUGAGGUGCGAAAGCGUGGGUAGCAAACAGGAUUAGAUACCCUGGUAGUCCACGCCGUAAAC
rnacentral:rRNA from 1 species